rnacentral:lncRNA from 1 species
GCCCAAUGACCUCUAUUUAUAUACUUUAAUAUACAAUGAUGCUUAUUUGCUCAUUACUUCCUCUCUGAAGGCCCUAAUGGAAGUGGAAAGAGUUCAAUCUUCAGAGUGCUUCGUGGUUUAUGGCCAGUUGUUAGUGGAAGACUAGUCAAACCAUGUCAAACGCUUAACUCAAAAUUGGGAAGUGACAUCUUCUAUGUACCGCAACGACCAUAUACCUGCUUAGGAACCCUACGGGAUCAAAUCAUAUAUCCUCUCUCAAAAGACUAACUCAGAAUUGGGAAGUGACAUUUUCUAUGUACCGCAACGACCAUAUACCUGCUUAGGAACCCUACGGGAUCAAAUCAUAUAUCCUCUCUCACGUGAAGUGGCAGAGAAAAGGGUGCUGGCUUCUUUCCGAGAAGGUAAUUUUCUGGGUAUAUUGUAUUCCCCAGUUCUUUUUAUGAAUUGACUUGCUAUUAAUCUGUUAUAAUCUGUGCUUGAGGUAAACUCGUUGAAAAUCAUACAGCUAACAUAGGGAAGCGGAUUUGUAAUUGACAGGUUUAUGUGAGUUCCAUAUUAACUUCUCCCGAUGUAUAUAGGUGAUACAAUAAUUUACUUGGAUAUGGAGUUCUACUAUUGUCACUUGUUUUAUUUAAAAAAAGGAUCCCAAUGUGGACUGUGAGAGGGCUAUUCAUACAAGUUUGUUGUGGUUUUCCAAAGGGGUAAAAAAGUUCUUGUGAUUUCAUACUUGGUUUUCCUUAAGUAGUUGCAAAAACUCUGUAGCUGUUAACUAAUAGGAGUAGGAGUUAUUAUUAUGAAAAAGGUAUUCAGAAAUGGAGAUGACAAUUGACAUUGGUUUUGAACCAUCCAAGUUUGUACUUGUGUUUCUUGUCUUUCAAGAGAUUGCUCAGAAAAACCGCGGGUAUAGCUUAAGUGGGUUGAGAAACAAAGUAGCAGCUCUUAAGAAAAGAGAGCAAGAUGUAAUUGAAAAUUAAGAAAAUUACUGAUAAUCUCACAUUGGUCCCGAAUCUGUAAUUUUCAACUCGUAUUUAACAAAGGGUCAUAAUUUUGUUGAUGUAAGCCUCUGGUAUCAGGCCAUAAAUCCGG